rnacentral:rRNA from 1 species
CAGCCGCCACGGUAAUACAGAGGGUGCGAGCGUUAAUCGGAUUUACUGGGCGUAAAGCGUGCGUAGGCGGCUUCUUAAGUCGGAUGUGAAAUCCCUGAGCUUAACUUAGGAAUUGCAUUCGAUACUGGGAAGCUAGAGUAUGGGAGAGGAUGGUAGAAUUCCAGGUGUAGCGGUGAAAUGCGUAGAGAUCUGGAGGAAUACCAAUGGCGAAGGCAGCCAUCUGGCCUAAUACUGACGCUGAGGUACGAAAGCAUGGGGAGCAAACAGGAUUAGAUACCCGAGUAGUCCCUGUCUCUUAUAC